AUGCUAAAUUCUCCUCAUGCUUAUAGUCAAAAUAAAGCGUUUACUAAACAUAUCGUUGAUGCCUUGAUGCAAUCUUAUGAAGAAAAACUUGAGUUGGAAGUUUCUAUACCUAGAAAACUUUAUGAUGAGUGGGAACCGACUAUUAAAAUUAAGAUUAAAGAUCAUGAGUUCUAUGCUUUAUGUGAUUUGGGUGCUAGUGUUUCCACGAUUCCAAAGACUUUGUGUGAUUUGUUAGGUUUCCGUGAUUUUGAUGAUUUUAACUUGCACCUUGCGGAUUCCACUAUUAAGAAACCAAUGGGAAGAAUCAAUAAUGUCCUUAUUGUCGCAAAUAGGAAUUAUGUGCCCAUAGAUUUUAUUAUUUUUGACAUAGAUUGCAAUCCUUCAUGUCCUAUUAUUCUUGAUAGACCUUUCCUUAGAACGAUUGAUGCAAUUAUUGAUAUGAAGGAAGGAAAUAUUAGAUUCCAAUUUCCGUUAAGGAAAGGCAUGAAACACUUUCCUAGAAAGAAAAUUAAACUACCUUAUGAAUCUAUUAUUAGAGCCACUUAUGAAUUGCCUACCAAAGAUGGCAAUACCUAG
rnacentral:rRNA from 1 species